rnacentral:miRNA from 1 species
AGGAUGGAAUGGAUGUCGUCU